AUUACGCAAAUCUUUCAACUCCUAUAAAAAGCAAAUCUUUUUUAAACUUGAGCCAGUAGACAUAUUUACUCCAAAAUGAGGUUGUUUAUUGCUUGUGUAACCAUUCUCGGAGUGGCUAAAGCUGCCUUGGCGAUAGUGCCGCUUUGCGGGUGCAAACCAACGUCGCCAGUCUGUGGGAGCGACUUGAAGACGUACAGCAGUGAAUGCAGCUUGGCUUGCGAUAACCAUUACAGCUUGAACCCUCCAGUGCUUAUAUACAAUGGCCCGUGUGAAGAUCUAUUGCCAGUUAAGCCGGACCCCAUUAACCCAUACCCCAUUAAUCCAUACCCCAUUAACCCAUACCCCAUUAACCCAUACCCCAUUAACCCAUUUGACCCAUACAAUCCCAAUCAACCCUGCAAUCCGUUCGACAUUUAUAACCCAUGCUUAUACUUAGGUGCUCAUAAAAAACCCUAAAUCAAAAUAAAGCAUUAACAU